CCUACGGGAGACAGCAGUGGGGAAUAUUGCACAAUGGGGGAAACCCUGAUGCAGCGACGCCGCGUGAGUGAAGAAGUAUUUCGGUAUGUAAAGCUCUGUCAGCAGGGAAGUAAAUGACGGUACCUGACCAUGAAGCCCCGUCUAACGACGUGCCAGCAGCCGUGGUAAUACGUAGGGGGCAAGCGUGAUCCGGAUUUACAGGGUGUAAAGGGAGCGUAGACGGCAGGGCAAGUCUGGAGUGAAAGGCGGGGGCUCAACCCCCGGACUGCUAUGGAAACUGGCAGGCUGGAGUGCAGGAGAGGUAAGUGGAAUUCGUAGUGUAGCGGUGAAAUGCGUAGAUAUUAGGAGGAACACCAGUGGCGAAGGCAGCUUACUAGACUGUAACUGACGUUGAGGCUCGAAAGCGUGGGGAGCAAACAGGAUUAGAUACCCUGGUAGUC
rnacentral:rRNA from 1 species